ACCGCCUGAGCCACCCAGGCGCCCCUAAAAUAUGGACUUUAAAGGAACUAAAGCCCAUGAAUUUCCAGAAAAUACAGGAUUAUUGCUAUUUUACUAGGACUGAAGCUGUUGGUAAAAGUAUCAUCCAUAAGCGUCUAUAAAAGUCUUGAGAGUUUCCUUAGUGGUAUUGCGUGAUGGGGCAUCCCCAGGAGAAAAAACAAAGGAUUAUUUGCAUGACGUCCCUGUGUACCCUGUGGACUUCUUUCAUUCUUCCCAGGCUGGAGUCCCAUCAGCAGCAAAAAUGUGAGCAGGAAAAUGGGUGUGUCCCUGGUGCUGUUUUGCCUGAGAAGACAAGGAUAGUACCUUAUGGAUGAUAAAGGUAGAAGACUGAGCUGCCCGGCCAGUCUGUACUGGCCAAUCUGUUGUGUAUGAAAACUUCACAACAGUUUUCACAACAAUUUCACAAUACUUCAGUGAUUGCAUUGGUAGUUUCCUUAAUUAAUACAAUUAGAUAUAUUUCUUUGUGACUAAUUCUUAGAAGGUCCAGACAAUUGAUGA